AUUGAAGCAUCGAAAAUACAUUUUGGUCCAAAAAUAACAAAAAUUACGACUUUAUUCAGCAUUGUCUUCUCUUCCGGGUCUGUUGUGAGCGCGUUCACAACGCUGCUGACGUGUUUUCUGGUGCUCCCAAUAACAAAGAUCAUGGGCGCCGUAUGAGGGGGGAAAAGUUAGGACAAUUCCAAGGGCCCCUGACUGACAGGGGCCCCAACAAAUAGGUAAAAACUAAUUUAAAAUUUUUAUUAUAUUAUACACUAUAUAAACCAUCAUUGAGUAUAUUUCAAAUAAUAAUAAAAUGAAUGAUGUCUUUGAUUUUACUUAUUUUGGCAAUAAAAGUUAAAUAUCACCAUUGACCAAAAAAUAAACCAUCCAUAUUGACCGACCACCCCCCUGUAUCUGCAUGAAAUGGUUUGGUCCUGCCUUAGCGCACUCAUCAGUGACGGUGUUUAGUUAGUUGCAGACAGUCAAUCAAUGCACAGCGCGCUAGAAAUUCAGAGACCAUAAUUUUGAGUAGUAAAAUUAAAUCUGGUUUUCAGAAAAGGAAAGAGAGAAAAGAGGAAGAGGAAAGACAAAAGAAAGGGUGUCGUUCUGUAUCCCAGUUUUUCACCAAGAAAGCAGACUUAACAACAGAUGAGUCAGCAGCACCCCAGUCUCCCCAUAACUGCACCUCUCCCUGUCCCAGUGAAGAAGGGGAGCAACACUGUGUUAAUGACUUAGCUUCAUUCCCGGGAGUCUGUGUGGGGUUCUCUGUCUCUCUUGCUCUUUUUUACCAUAACAAAAAAGAAAAUGAAAUAUUUAUUAAUGACAGAAAUCAAACACAAAUUAUUUUCUCACAUAAUGACCAUUAUGACAUAAAUAAAAAAUAAAUAAA